AUACAGAGGGUGCGAGCGUUAAUCGGAAUUACUGGGCGUAAAGAGCACGUAGGCGGGUACUUAAGUCGGAUGUGAAAGCCCCGGGCUCAACCCGGGAACUGCGCUUAUUACUGAUAAACUAGAGUCCGGGAGAGGGUGGCGGAAUUCCCAGUGUAGAGGUGAAAUUCGUAGAUAUUGGGAAGAACACCAGUUGCGAAGGCGGCCACCUGGACCGGUACUGACGCUGAGGUGCGAAAGCGUGGGGAGCAAACAGGAUUAGAAACCCCGGUAGUCC
rnacentral:rRNA from 1 species